UACGUAGGCAGCGAGCGUUGUUCGGAGUUACUGGGCGUAAAGAGUGCGUAGGCGGUUUUCUAAGUUUGGUGUGAAAUCUCCCGGCUUAACUGGGAGGGUGCGCCGAAAACUGGAAGGCUUGAGUAUGGGAGAGGUAAGCGGAAUUCCUGGUGUAGCGGUGAAAUGCGUAGAUAUCAGGAGGAACACCUGCGGCGAAGGCGGGUUGCUGGGCUGACACUGACGCUGAGGCGCGAAAGCUAGGGGAGCGAACGGG
rnacentral:rRNA from 1 species